CGUGGGCCGUAGAGACGGCCGGCUCCGUCCGGCUUUCGCGCUGCCGUCCAUCCACCCGAGCGAUCAGUCCGCGCGUCCUCGCCUCCGUCCUCUCACGCACGCCCUCGUGUCUGGAUAUUUGGUAAUUUCUUUUCUGAGCAUAAAUAGAUAUUGUGCCCCCACCUGUUUGUUGUUUUGCCCAGCUGAAAGGUGGAUCAAAUAUGAAAGACGUGAGCGUUCAAUAGUGUGAAAAGCAAGCCCUGGUCUUGUUGAAGUUCCAUUGAAUUUCUGUGAUACUAAUGCUCAUAUUUUGCAAUUUGCUCUCCACAGCUUUCAGUCACGGAUUCUUGAGGAAAACAUGAAAACAGGUAAUAUAUAUGAUUAGUGUUUGGGUGACCGUUGAUUCCUACACCGAGUUGUGUUGCUGUACAAAUAGCCUCUCUUUUUGGUGGUGACACGGUGUCCCUUCCAGGUUCAGCAGCAGGCAAUGCUCAAGACAGAGUUGGGUGCACAUCAUAUAUAUA